rnacentral:rRNA from 1 species
UACGUUCCCGGGCUUGUACACACCGCCCGUCAAGUCAUGAAAGUCGGUAACACCCGAAGCCGGUGGCCUAACCGUAAGGAAGGAGCCGUCGAAGGUGGGAUCGGUGAUUAGGACU